rnacentral:lncRNA from 1 species
AGAGAACUAGAGAAUCCAAGGUAGAUAUUAAAAGCAUGUCUUAGGUUAGCUGAGUUUUCAUUUCAAAUCAUUUUGCUAAAAAAACAACCAUUGAGGAGAAGCAAGCAGUGUAAAGUGGGGGUGUGUCUAUAAGAAAUACCUUCCAGAAGUUUCCAUGGUACAUCAGAUGAACAAAAAAAGUAAGAAACUCAAACAAAAAGUAGGAAAUUCUUACUUGAGUUGAGCCAAUGUGGAAAUGGGGCAGGCAGCUGAGCCUGAGAGCUAGGACUCCAU